ACCUGGUCUUGACAUCCACGGAAGUUUUCAGAGAUGAGAAUGUGCCUUCGGGAACCGUGAGACAGGUGCUGCAUGGCUGUCGUCAGCUCGUGUUGUGAAAUGUUGGGUUAAGUCCCGCAACGAGCGCAACCCUUAUCCUUUGUUGCCAGCGGUCCGGCCGGGAACUCAAAGGAGACUGCCAGUGAUAAACUGGAGGAAGGUGGGGAUGACGUCAAGUCAUCAUGGCCCUUACGACCAGGGCUACACACGUGCUACAAUGGCGCAUACAAAGAGAAGCGACCUCGCGAGAGCAAGCGGACCUCAUAAAGUGCGUCGUAGUCCGGAUUGGAGUCUGCAACUCGACUCCAUGAAGUCGGAAUCGCUAGUAAUCGUGGAUCAGAAUGCCACGGUGAAUACGUUCCCGGGCCUUGUACACACCGCCCGUCACACCAUGGGAGUGGGUUGCAAAAGAAGUAGGUAGCUUAACCUUCGGGAGGGCGCUUACCACUUUGUGAUUCAUGACUGGGGUGAAGUCGUAACAAGGUAACCGUAGGGGAACCUGCGGUUGGAUCACCUCCUU
rnacentral:rRNA from 2 species